rnacentral:rRNA from 1 species
GAUGAGCGCUGGCGGCGUGCCUAAUACAUGCAAGUCGAGCGAACAGACGAGGAGCUUGCUCCUCUGACGUUAGCGGCGGACGGGUGAGUAACACGUGGAUAACCUACCUAUAAGACUGGGAUAACUUCGGGAAACCGGAGCUAAUACCGGAUAAUAUAUUGAACCGCAUGGUUCAAUAGUGAAAGACGGUUUUGCUGUCACUUAUAGAUGGAUCCGCGCCGCAUUAGCUAGUUGGUAAGGUAACGGCUUACCAAGGCAACGAUGCGUAUCCGACCUGAGAGGGUGAUCGGCCACACUGGAACUGAGACACGGUCCAGACUCCUACGGGAGGCAGCAGUAGGGAAUCUUCCGCAAUGGGCGAAAGCCUGACGGAGCAACGCCGCGUGAGUGAUGAAGGUCUUCGGAUCGUAAAACUCUGUUAUUAGGGAAGAACAAAUGUGUAAGUAACUAUGCACGUCUUGACGGUACCUAAUCAGAAAGCCACGGCUAACUACGUG